rnacentral:rRNA from 1 species
GAUGAACGCUGGCGGCGUGCCUAAUACAUGCAAGUCGAGCGAACGGACGAGAAGCUUGCUUCUCUGAUGUUAGCGGCGGACGGGUGAGUAACACGUGGAUAACCUACCUAUAAGACUGGGAUAACUUCGGGAAACCGGAGCUAAUACCGGAUAAUAUUUUGAACCGCAUGGUUCAAAAGUGAAAGACGGUCUUGCUGUCACUUAUAGAUGGAUCCGCGCUGCAUUAGCUAGUUGGUAAGGUAACGGCUUACCAAGGCAACGAUGCAUAGCCGACCUGAGAGGGUGAUCGGCCACACUGGAACUGAGACACGGUCCAGACUCCUAAGGGAGGCAGCAGUAGGGAAUCUUCCGCAAUGGGCGAAAGCCUGACGGAGCAACGCCGCGUGAGCGAUGAAGGUCUUCGGAUCGUAAAACUCUGUUAUUAGGGAAGAACAUAUGUGUAAGUAACUGUGCACAUCUUGACGGUACCUAAUCAGAAAGCCACGGCUAACUACGUG